UCCCCCACAGGGGGACUGACGCACGGGAAUGUACGAAAGAGGCCACAAAGUGAAUCACAACCAAUGGGGGGAAGCACGCAGAGGGACCCGGUGAAGGAUGGCAGCCGUAUGUUAUAAUCAUCUAAUAACUAGAGGAUUGAGUUCGGGUGGGUCAGAGGUUUGUAUCUCCGUAAGAGGCGUCGGCUAUUUCGUGCCGCCAGCCCCGGUAAUCCGAGGGGUGCGAGCGUGUCCGUGAUUUGCGGGGUUUAAGGGGGGCGCCGGGGGGUUCUUCGCCCGCGGAGAAAUGAGAGGGUACCCCUAGGAACCGUCUUUGAAACUGGUAGUCUAGAGUU
rnacentral:rRNA from 1 species